UGCGUCACACUGCUGACAGCAAGCGCCGGGUUAACGUGUAGUGCUGGGCAGUAGGUAGUUGUCUACGAUGGUUUCUUUGUAAUGUGAGUGUACUGGACAAAACUACGGAAAUGGAUGGCAAUGUAGGCAUCACAGAACAGAAACAGACGUGGAGGGUACGACAAUUCACUCACCGGCACAUGCAAGUGAUGAGUCAACCUACUUCAACCUAGGGGAGGUGGCAGAGUGAUUAGUUCCGAGGCUGCGGGAGACAAGCAAGAGGGAAUAUUCUUAAGUUGGACAUUUAACGAGACUUCCUUCUGGCGACGAACCUUCAUUCUUUGUGCUGUCCGUAUGUGGCAUCAGUGGCGACCAAACGCACCAUGUUUUUUUUUGCGACUGAUAAAUGGCGAGCUGGAAUUUAUUAAGCCGGAUGCAGUAAGAGUGGACGUGGGCAUGAACAACCACCAGCAUACAGCGGCGGAGAUGCCUGGCAGCAUUAUGGAGAUCCGUAAGACCAUCAAGGAAAAAGCAGCCGCCGCGGACGUUGUGUGUGUGUGUGUGUGUGUGUGUGUGUGUGUGUGUGUGUGUGUGUGUGUGUGUGUGUGUGUGUGUGUUCCUUUCGUGAGCUACGCAAUCUUUAAUUAUUUUUUUUUUUUUAUUUAAAGUUUGAAAUGGCAAGGAUACUGAAGUUUUUCCUUCAUCUUUUCGGUCGAUUGUUUUGACUUUCCAGACUUGCUUCACGAAGGAACGGUGUCGUAAAACUAGUAUGCUGACGACACUGUUAUCACUCUUACUACCCGAGCGUUCUAAAUGUUGAAACAUAACUCCCUGAAAGCUGUUACCUUUGCCCAAAUCGCAAUUGAUGAUAGUGGAUUCAGGCUGGUGUCUCCUUUCUACCACUGCUGUCUUCAAAGGGGCAUUAUUUUUUGCCCUGAUGAACCAAACAGCAGAUCUUGAGUGCCUAAGGCAAUGAUGGGAUGGUCAUGGCACACAGCUGGCCUGGCGGGAAGAGACAUAUCCUGGGUGUUCUGGAACAUCCAUAAAAAAAAACUCAAGACACCCAGAGUAUCGUGCGAGAUCAGGCUACGUGGUUGAGUAUAAGUGACCUCCACUAUAAUCUACCGUACCCUAUAAUCUACCGUUUAUCGACCACAGAUUCAAGAGGCGAUAUAUAAUAUACAUUAUAAACAGUCAAUACGUGAAAGGUGUUACCAAGAAAAGCAAUGUAUAAUUAUUUUCAUGGUUCAGUGGAUAUAAUAAAAGAGCAUAAUA